UGGGGAAUAUUGCACAAUGGGCGCAAGCCUGAUGCAGCCAUGCCGCGUGUAUGAAGAAGGCCUUCGGGUUGUAAAGUACUUUCAGCGGGGAGGAAGGGAGUAAAGUUAAUACCUUUGCUCAUUGACGUUACCCGCAGAAGCAGCACCGGCUAACUCCGUGCCAGCAGCCGCGGUAAUACGGAGGGUGCAAGCGUUAAUCGGAAUUACUGGGCGUAAAGCGCACGCAGGCGGUUUGUUAAGUCAGAUGUGAAAUCCCCGGGCUCAACCUGGGAACUGCAUCUGAUACUGGCAAGCUUGAGUCUCGUAGAGGGGGGUAGAAUUCCAGGUGUAGCGGGGAAAUGCGUAGAGAUCUGGAGGAAUACCGGUGGCGAAGGCGACCCCCUGAACGAAGACUGACGCUCAGGUGCGAAAGCGUGGGGAGCAAACAGG
rnacentral:rRNA from 1 species